rnacentral:rRNA from 1 species
GACGAACGCUGGCGGCAUGCCUAACACAUGCAAGUCGAACGGAGUGAUUUCCUUCGGGAGAUCGCUUAGUGGCGGACGGGCGAGUAACGCGUGAGCGACCUGCCUCUCAGAGGGGAAUAACGACCGGAAACAGUCGCUAAUACCGCAUAACAUAACCUGAUCGCAUGAUCGGGUUAUCAAAGGAGCAAUCCGCUGAGAGAUGGGCUCGCGUCCGAUUAGCUAGUUGGUGAGGUAACGGCUCACCAAGGCGACGAUCAGUAGCUGGACUGAGAGGUUGGCCGGCCACAUUGGGACUGAGAUACGGCCCAGACUCCUACGGGAGGCAGCAGUGGGGAAUAUUGGGCAAUGGGGGAAACCCUGACCCAGCAACGCCGCGUGAAGGAAGAAGGCCUUCGGGUGUAACUUCUUUACCAGGACGAAGAACGUGACGGUA